rnacentral:lncRNA from 1 species
UGCAAAGCCAGUGCUCUCAACUUCUAUCCAGAAGCACAAAAUCAGAUGCAAACUGAAACCAAAUAGGUACACAGAAUGAAUGGAUCCAGCUGGGGGCAAUAAAGGGAGGGUUAUAAAACCGGAAAGCGGAUGCCCCAUAUAAAGGGAUAGUCCCUGUUUGGCUCCAACUGAUCAAUCAUUUCUAAAAAGAAUGGGCACAUCGCAGAGCCAUGUCUUUGGUUUUCAAAGAGAGGCAGAAAUCCUGCAUUUUUACAUACGAAUUUCCUGAUUUUUAAGUGCAAGCUAUAAGUCCAUCAAAACAGUUCUGGUUUUCAAGCCAACCUUGUAAGACCACAGGGCUAUGGCCUGUGCUCUUCUCUAAGUCCUCUUGGUAAAUCACAGAAGUGGCUCAGCCCGUUUGUAAAAGCCACUGAAGAUCUUCCCAUCUACUUCAGAGACUGACAACAUGAUACAAGCCCUCAAGUGAGUUACAGCGAAGGUGACCAACCCAUCUUCAACUGCCUGGAACUUUCCUGAUUUCAAAAUGGUGAAAAUUAAAUGCCAAUCAAAUGGCAUUGAGAUUAGACGCAGAGAAAAGGAAAACAAGGACACUUCAUUUUGGUAGUGAACAUAACAAGAGAAGAGAUCAACUAAAUUUUGAAGCGGUGACCCUUGAAUGUUUCUAGAAGGUGAGAUGCGACUUGGCUCUGUGUUGUUUGUAUUACAUGAGGAGUCUAUCAAAGAGUGUCUGGACAUCUUGGUGACCAGCAUAAAUGUCUUCCUCUAAAGUCAUUUGAAAUGCUUCACAGAAGAUAGCAAGAUUUGGAAGAAGAGGCAAAACAUUUCCUGUAAAUACCAUCGCUGGGAUGAAUUCUCACUCUCCUGUCCCUCCAUCAAACAGAAAUCUAUAUUGUGCCUUGAGUUGAGCUCCAGAGAAAUUAUCAAUAUUCACACAUCUGGCACAAAUCUGUUGGAAGAAAAAAAAACCAUCAUGCCAUCUGUAUUUCUUCAAUCGUUUUAUAGCACAGCUCCAGUCUCUGGCCAUCAUUUUGUCACUCGGUCUUGUAAAUAUAAAGUUAUAUUACUUUUUGGCUUGUUUGAGGACACCGUUCAUCAUAAGGGGAGGAUGAAGAGAUGAUGUCACUGCCGGGAAAAAAAAAAACAAAACACAACAACUUCGCCUUUCUCAAUCCCCCACCUUCCCCAGAGUGUGGAGGAGCCAAAUUUCAUCUAGUUUGGCACAGUUGUAGGAAUUAACAUGACUGAAAUGUAUGCCAGAUUUCAAAACAAUUUCUAACAGUUUCUGUGAGACCGUGUAAGCAACUGAAAAUUGACAUGUUGUGUUGUGCCCGAGUCAGCCAACUGCUGUCACUGCAUAAUUAGAUUUUCCUGCAUGAGAGGAAAAAGUGUUCCCUUAAAAAAUUAUGAAAUAAAGCAGAAGCUAAUAUAAAAUACAAGUGGGCCCGUUAUUCACAUAGAGGUAGCCUUCCGCCAAAGAAUGACUUUGGACACACACACACGUGCACGCACACACACUCACACACACACAACUCCAGGAGAGGCUGAUGGCCCUGGAUUUCUGCGCUUUACAUGCAAGAAAUGCUCUUUGCAAAGGGAAGAGGAUUUACGGCACAGGCCAGAUGGAAGUAGGCCCACUUGGCUGCCCAAGGAAUGGCUGAAACCCAGAAGCAAGAACAGAUUUGGAGCUAAUGAAUGUGCGGUUCCUUCCUUCUGAUAUGGAAUAAUAGAUGUGGCAGAGUAUGCCAGGUGCCCCCAAUACUUAUUCUCCCCUUGUCCAACAGUAACAGUAGUUUUUGUUUGGCACAAAGGAGCCCAGCUAAAGGCUAUAUUCCCCAGGCUCCCCUGCACCUCGAUAUAACCAUAUAACUAAGUUCUGGCGAAUGAGGUGUGAGAGGAAGUGGAAGUUUCCAGAUUCCAUGUCGUGUCCUUAACAGGAAAGGAGGGGUUCCCUCCGCUUUCUCCCCUCCCGUCUUCCUGAGGGUGGGAGCGCAGGCAUCUUUGUCCAGGAGGAUGAGAUCUAUACCAUGUGGACAAGAGCUG